UACGUAGGGCGCGAGCGUUGUCCGGAAUUAUUGGGCGUAAAGAGCUCGUAGGCGGCCUGUCGCGUCGGCUGUGAAAUCCCGAGGCUCAACCUCGGGUCUGCAGUCGAUACGGGCAAACUUGAGUGUUGCAGGGGAGACUGGAAUUCCUGGUGUAGCGGUGAAAUGCGCAGAUAUCAGGAGGAACACCGGUGGCGAAGGCGGGUCUCUGGGCAACAACUGACGCUGAGGAGCGAAAGCGUGGGGAGCGAACAGG
rnacentral:rRNA from 1 species